UUGAGGAAACUCAGUAAAGUCAGCAGUUCACAUAAGAGGAAGGCCUGUAUCAGCACUUAAAGACACUCCGCCAGCUCAGCAGAUAUGAGCGAGACAGUAAAAACCUUAUAAAAUAAAAGAGCUAAAAAAUGGAGACCGGGCGAGCGAGCACAGGCAUAUGCUGGGAGAGAGAGGAACAAACAGUAAGAUAUAUUCUGACGACUUCAGUAGGUUCAAUGAGUCUUCAGAGGAAUAUUAAUCAAGACGGUCCCCAUCAGCCCGCGUGUCUCUCUGCAUCUGGACCGCAGACUCCUGGGACCCUCGCGGGGUUCGGAAAACACGCUGUUAUGACAUUUUUUACCUUGAACAGGUUGCAAAGAAUAACCAGAGACCAGACGGUAUAUCAAAUCUAAUGACUGCUGCCGAGAGAUACGGCGAAUCUCAAGAAACGUGUCCGGGUCACAAACCCUAAUCUAAAAAAAGCUCAAAAAAACCCCCUGAAAUUCAUUUUGCCUGGAACAUUAGUAAGAAAACGAUAACAGAAAGCCAUUACCUUUUAUUAAAGUCACGGUUAUUACAGUUAACCAUGCCUGAAAACAAAACAAAUCAUCAAUCAUUACAUUAAUAGUGAGAUACCCGUUUGUUAUUUUCCUUUAGUGUAACUUGAAAUAAUAAAAUAUCUCAUACUGAUAAUAAACAACAAAUAAUACAUUUGAUAAUAAAUAAUGGCAAAAACACUGAAACAAAAUGACUAACUUUCAAGUUAAAACCUUAAUAAAAAGAUUAUAUAUCCCUGAUUGAAGUUUGGCUUCGGUUUUAUUGUAGAUUAUUUUCUAACACACACACAUACUCACACACACACACACACACAAACACACACACAGACACACACAAACACACACACAGACACACACACA